rnacentral:rRNA from 1 species
CAAUAGCGUAUAUUAAAGUUGUUGCAGUUAAAAAGCUCGUAGUUGGAUUUGUGGCGUACGACGGGCUCCGGGCACUUGUUGUCUGAGUAGCUUGUCGUUGCCAUCCUUGGGUGGAACCUGUGUGGCAUUAGGUUGUCGUGCAGGGGAUGCCCAUCUUUUACUGUGAAAAAAUUAGAGUGUUCAAAGCAGGCUUAUGCUGUUGAAUAUAUUAGCAUGGAAUAAUAAGAUAGGACUUUGUCGCUAUUUUGUUGGUUUGCGCGAUAAGGUAAUGAUUAAUAGGGACAGUUGGGGGUAUUCGUAUUCCAUUGUCAGAGGUGAAAUUCUUGGAUUUUUGGAAGACGAACUACUGCGAAAGCAUUUACCAAGGAUGUUUUCAUUAA